GAUGAAGAACGCAGCGAAAUGCGAUAAGUAGUGUGAAUUGCAGAAUUCAGUGAAUCAUCGAAUCUUUGAACGCACAUUGCGCCCUUUGGUAUUCCUUAGGGCAUGCCUGUUCGAGCGUCAUUUAAACCUUCAAGCUCAGCUUGGUGAUGGGCGACUGUCCCCCCCCCUCGCGGGGGGGACUCGCCUCAAAAACAUUGGCGGCCGGUACAUUGGCUUCGAGCGCAGCAGAAACGCGGUCUCGAGCCCGGUGGAUCGGCUCCCAUAAGCCUAUUCUUUUGUUUUGACCUCGGAUCAGGUAGGGAUACCCGCUGAACUUAAGCAUAUCAAUAAGCGGAGGA
rnacentral:misc_RNA from 1 species